rnacentral:snoRNA from 10 species
AAAGACAGCUAUGAGUGUGUUGAGCCAAGGAUUAUGAUUAAUCCAGUUCUAUGCGUCUGAGAGUUAUU